rnacentral:rRNA from 1 species
CUCGUAGGUGGCCAACUAAGUCAGACGUGAAAUCCCUCAGCUUAACUGGGGAACUGCGUCUGAUACUGGAUGGCUUGAGUUUGGGAGAGGGAUGCGGAAUUCCAGGUGUAGCGGUGAAAUGCGUAGAUAUCUGGAGGAACACCGGUGGCGAAGGCGGCAUCCUGGACCAAUACUGACACUGAGGAGCGAAAGCCAGGGAGCAAACG